rnacentral:rRNA from 1 species
AGUCACUCUGGCAAAUCCGGGUGGCAAUGGGAAGCCGUGAUGCGGAGCGAAAUAAAGUAGCGAAGUCCGUGAGCCAUGCGUCAAGAAAAGCCGCUAUCGUUUAUACCGUACCCGUACCGUAAACCGACACAGGUGGAUGAGGAGAGAAUCCUAAGGCCGGCGGAAGAAGCAUUGUCAAGGAACUCGGCAAAAUGGCCCCGUAACUUAGGGAUAAGGGGUGCCUGGGAAACCAGGCCGCAGAGAAUAGGCUCAAGCAACUGUUCAUCAAAAACACAGGUCUAUGCGAAACCGAAAGGUGAGGUAUAUGGGCUGACGCCUGCCCGGUGCUGGAAGGUUAAGAGGAGAGGUAGCGCAAGCGAAGCUUUGAAUUUAAGCCCCAGUAAACGGCGGCCGUAACAAUAACGGUCCUAAGGUAGCGAAAUUCCUUGUCGGGUAAGUUCCGACCCGCACGAAAGGCGUAAUGAUUUGAGCGCUGUCUCGACAAUGCAUCCGGUGAAAUUGAAGUACCAGUGAAGAUGCUGGUUACCUGCGCCAGGACGGAAAGACCCCAUGGAGCUUUACUCCAGUUUGGUACUGGGACUCGGUAUUGCAUGUACAGGAUAGGUGGGAGGCUGAGAGACAGUAACGCCAGUUAUUGUGGAGCCGCUGUUGGGAUACCACCCUUGCAGUAUUGGGUUUCUAACCAGCCGCCGUGACCCGGCGGUGGGACAAUGCCAGACGGGGAGUUUGACUGGGGCGGUCGCCUCCGAAAGGGUAUCGGAGGCGCCCAAAGGUUCCCUCAGAAUGGACGGAAACCAUUCGAAGAGUGCAAAGGCAGAAGGGAGCUUGACUGCGACACCGACGGGUGGAGCAGGUACGAAAGUAGGGCUUAGUGAUCCGGUGGUAUUAAGUGGGAAUGCCAUCGCUCAACGGAUAAAAGCUACCCUGGGAUAACAGGCUUAUCACUCCCAAGAGUUCACAUCGACGGAGUGGUUUGGCACCUCGAUGUCGGCUCAUCGCAUCCUGGGGCUGUAGUAGGUCCCAAGGGUUGGGCUGUUCGCCCAUUAAAGCGGUACGCGAGCUGGGUUCAGAACGUCGUGAGACAGUUCGGUCCCUAUCCGGCGUGGGCGUAGGAUAUCUGAGAGGAGCUGUCCUUAGUACGAGAGGACCGGGAUGGACGGGCCGCUGGUGCAUCGGUUAGACUGCCAAGUCUACGGCCGAGUAGCCAAGCCCGGAAGGGAUAAACGCUGAAGGCAUCUAAGCGUGAAGCCCCCCUUAAGAUGAGAUAUCCCAUUCGAAAGAAGUAAACCCCCUUGAAGACGACGAGGUAGAUAGGGCAGAGGUGGAAGUGUGGCAACACAUGGAGCUGACUGUUACUAAUCGGGUGAGGGCUUGACC